GUGGAGAUGUACACAGAUGGGCAGUGGAAUGACAGGAACUGCCUGUACUCCCGACUGACCAUCUGUGAGUUCUGAGAGGCAUUUAGGCCAUGGGACAGGGAGGACGCUCUCUGGCCUUCGGCCUCCAUCCUGAGGCUCCACUUGGUCUGUGAGAUGCUAGAACUCCCUUUCAACAGAAUUCACUUGUGGCUAUUGGGACUGGAGGCACCCUUAGCCACUUCAUUCCUCUGAUGGGCCCUGACUCUUCCCCAUAAUCACUGACCAGCCUUGACACUCCCCUUGCAAACUCUCCCAGCACUGCACCCCAGGCAGCCACUCUUAGCCUUGGCCUUCGACAUGAGAUGGAGCCCUCCUUAUUCCCCAUCUGGUCCAGUUCCUUCACUUACAGAUGGCAGCAGUGAGGUCUUGGGGUAGAAGGACCCUCCAAAGUCACACAAAGUGCCUGCCUCCUGGUCCCCUCAGCUCUCUCUCUGCAACCCAGUGCCAUCAGGAUGAGCAAUCCUGGCCAAGCAUAAUGACAGAGAGAGGCAGACUUCGGGGAAGCCCUGACUGUGCAGAGCUAAGGACACAGUGGAGAUUCUCUGGCACUCUGAGGUCUCUGUGGCAGGCCUGGUCAGGCUCUCCAUGAGGUUAGAAGGCCAGGUAGUGUUCCAGCAGGGUGGUGGCCAAGCCAACCCCAUGAUUGAUGUGUACGAUUCACUCCUUUGAGUCUUUGAAUGGCAACUCAGCCCCCUGACCUGAAGACAGCCAGCCUAGGCCUCUAGGGUGACCUAGAGCCGCCUUCAGAUGUGACCCGAGUAACUUUCAACUGAUGAACAAAUCUGCACCCUACUUCAGAUUUCAGUGGGCAUUCACACCACCCCCCACACCACUGGCUCUGCUUUCUCCUUUCAUUAAUCCAUUCACCCAGAUAUUUCAUUAAAAUUAUCACAACUGUUACUAUACACAGAGGCUAUUGACUGAGCACCUAUCAUUUGCCAAGAACCUUGACAAGCACUUCUAAUACAGCAUAUUAUGUACUAUUCAAUCUUUACACAAUGUCACGGGACCAGUAUUGUUUCCUCAUUUUUUAUAAGGACACUGAAGCUUGGAGGAGUUAAAUGUUUUGAGUAUUAUUCCAGAGAGCAAGUGGCAGAGGCUGGAUCCAAACCCAUCUUCCUGGACCUGAAGCUUAUGCUUCCAGCCACCCCACUCCUGAGCUGAAUAAAGAUGAUUUAAGCUU
rnacentral:lncRNA from 1 species